rnacentral:rRNA from 1 species
CAGAGUUUGAUCCUGGCUCAGGACGAACGCUGGCGGCGUGCCUAAUACAUGCAAGUCGAGCGGGCAGAUGGGAGCUUGCUCCCUGAUGUUAGCGGCGGACGGGUGAGUAACACGUGGGUAACCUGCCUGUAAGACUGGGAUAACUCCGGGAAACCGGGGCUAAUACCGGAUGGUUGUUUGAACCGCAUGGUUCAAACAUAAAAGGUGGCUUCGGCUACCACUUACAGAUGGACCCGCGGCGCAUUAGCUAGUUGGUGAGGUAACGGCUCACCAAGGCAACGAUGCGUAGCCGACCUGAGAGGGUGAUCGGCCACACUGGGACUGAGACACGGCCCAGACUCCUACGGGAGGCAGCAGUAGGGAAUCUUCCGCAAUGGACGAAAGUCUGACGGAGCAACGCCGCGUGAGUGAUGAAGGUUUUCGGAUCGUAAAGCUCUGUUGUUAGGGAAGAACAAGUACCGUUCGAAUAGGGCGGUACCUUGACGGUACCUAACCAGAAAGCCACGGCUAACUACGUGCCAGCAGCCGCGGUAAUACGUAGGUGGCAAGCGUUGUCCGGAAUUAUUGGGCGUAAAGGGCUCGCAGGCGGUUUCUUAAGUCUGAUGUGAAAGCCCCCGGCUCAACCGGGGAGGGUCAUUGGAAACUGGGGAACUUGAGUGCAGAAGAGGAGAGUGGAAUUCCACGUGUAGCGGUGAAAUGCGUAGAGAUGUGGAGGAACACCAGUGGCGAAGGCGACUCUCUGGUCUGUAACUGACGCUGAGGAGCGAAAGCGUGGGGAGCGAACAGGAUUAGAUACCCUGGUAGUCCACGCCGUAAACGAUGAGUGCUAAGUGUUAGGGGGUUUCCGCCCCUUAGUGCUGCAGCUAACGCAUUAAGCACUCCGCCUGGGGAGUACGGUCGCAAGACUGAAACUCAAAGGAAUUGACGGGGGCCCGCACAAG